ACUUAUCUCUUAAAGUAUGAGAACCCUUGCCCACUUCUAACCACAUCUAAGCAUUGAUGUGGCGCAUUGCUUCUAGUAAAUGCCCUAGCUAAUUUUUACCCAUUUUUUAUGUAAGUUUCGAUGAAGUGCAUCAAUGAUAGAUAAUAAUGUAAUUGUAGUUUUGUGCUAGUCUUCAAUCUAGUAUAAUCCUCCUUUAUCUGGACCUA
rnacentral:lncRNA from 1 species